rnacentral:rRNA from 1 species
CUUCAUUUGAAACAAUGCGGAAUAGUUUCGCAACUCACGCCACCCGGAACGUCACAGCGUAAUGGUGUGUCCGAACGUCAUAAUCGUACUUUAUUAGAUAUGGUGCGAUCUAUGAUGUCUCUUACUGAUUUACCACUAUCAUUUUGGGGUUAUGCUUUAGAGACGGCUGCAUUCACGUUAAAUAGGGCACCAUCUAAAUCCGUUGAGACGACACCAUAUGAACUGUGGUUUGGCAAUAAACCCAAGUUGUCGUUUCUUAAAGUUUGGGGCUGCGAUGCUUAUGUGAAAAAUCUUCAACCUGAUAAGCUCGAACACAAAUCGGAGAAAUGUGUCUUCAUAGGAUACCCAAAGGAGACUGUUGGGUACACCUUCUAUCACAGAUAUGAAGGCAAGAUAUUUGUUGCUAAGAAUGGAUCCUUUCUAGAGAAGGAGUUUCUCUCGAAAGAAGUGAGUGGGAGGAAAGUAGAACUUGAUGAGGUAAUUGUACCUUCUCCCGAAUUGGAAAGUAGUACAUCACAG